AGCCUCACCUGGCUGAGAGUGAGGUUUGUUUGAGCCCCAUUGUCAUAGCAACAAGGGAAUGUUUGUUAACAGAGCCAGUGACUUCACAGAAGCUGGUCUUAAUUCCACAUUUCUGAAGCUCAGGGAAGAGCAGAGCCAGCCAGGAGAGAAUGUGGAGGCAGAGGAAGACAAUAGUUCCCUUGGAAGAGCUGUGACUACUAGAAAAGUAUGUCCUGCUCAGGGAAGAGCAGAGCCAGCCAGGAGAAAAUGUGGAGGCAGAGGAAGACAAUAGUUCCCUUGGAAGAGCUGUGACUACUAGAAAAGUACUGUCCUGAUUGACCCCUGUUUACACUCAAGGAUUUCUUUUGUUCUCUUCUACUCGUCAUAACAGUGGUCACAUAAUGGAACCAAUAAAAAUCUGGUUUGGGAUGGGUCA
rnacentral:lncRNA from 1 species